rnacentral:misc_RNA from 1 species
GUGUUCAAAUCUCAGCAGAAGUUCCGUAGUUUUCUUUCACCGGCAUCAAGUUGGCAUUUAACCUGAAAAAAGCUUUUGUUUCGAUGACAGAAACACACCCAUAAUAAUUUCGUACAAUAUUUGCACUGUAACUGCAGUUCUGAAGACAACUCAUAUCUUAGAAGAAGUCUACAAAGAACAUACAGGAAAUACAGCCUUUCUGUUAACCACCAAAAUUUGCAUUUACAAACGCCUAACCGAAGCUAAACUCUCUAGCUCUCCUCUUUACCGCCUUUUUUACCUUUCUUUUGCUUCUGCUUCAAUUGCGUGAGGCCUGCAGCAGUAACCUUUACAUUGCCAAUAAUUGCAGCAACUAGUUCAGAAUCUGUACAUGCUUUCAUCAAUUCCUUCUCCCUGCUAGUUGCUUCUGGCAUGUGGCUGAACAAGUUCAUGGCAGUUUUUGCAGCUUUUCCUUUCUUUGCUGUGCCAGGGACAAUCUUCACUCGGUACUUGUAUGACUGCACUGCAUUGUAGGGACCACAGACUGGCACAGAAUAUAAUAGAAUGUCGCUAGGCAAGGGAUUCCCAGUCAAGUAAUCCAAAUCAUUUAACUUCUCUUUAUCUUCUUCACCUAUCUCAUGGAUGUCAUCCUCCUCCUGUGCCACCUUUUCUUCCUCCAAAGUGAUACGAUUCAAACCAACACAAGAGUCAUUGGUCUGUCCAUUUGCAUGAUUGUUUGAACUAUCAUCAGGAUGUUCUGGGCAAUCCCGAGACAAGUGACCUGCCUUUUUACAUUUAUAACAUACUUUUGGUGCAUUUUCAGGACUGGUAACAGAUAUCUUGUCUUUGCCAGCAGUGACUGUUACAUUUUGCGUCUCUUCAUCUUUCUUGUGUGUCUUUCCAGCAGAAGCCAGUAAAGCCAUCCGAAUGCUUCUCUCCUCCUCAUCUUGAUUUGCAUACUUCUCCUUCAUCUUCUUAAGUUUACUCUUCUGCCCACGGCUGAUUUUUCCACCUACUGCCUUAUUUUGGACACUCUUUUCAGGUUGACAGACAGAAACACCAGUUUCUUUUGAUUCUUCUUUUUCCGACUCAAUGUUUGCAUCUCCAGCACCAUUUUUGCGAUCCUUCUUGAGCUUUCUUCUUUCAGCCUUUGAGAUAUGAGGUUUAUCUCUCCCUGUCGCCUUCCUUUCCUCACAACCAUGAUCCUCAGACAAAUCAACCUUAGAUGUUUCAACUCCAUAAUGUUUUUGAGAUACAGCAGCAGGUCCCAGUCCAAGAGCUCUAUCAAUGAGAUCCUCAAGUUGUGGUGUAACAGAUGCAACACUGUUUCCAACAAUAUUGGAUGAAUCUUCCUUCU